rnacentral:rRNA from 1 species
UACGUAGGGCGCAAGCGUUGUCCGGAAUUAUUGGGCGUAAAGAGCUCGUAGGCGGCUUGUCACGUCGGUUGUGAAAGCCCGGGGCUUAACCCCGGGUCUGCAGUCGAUACGGGCAGGCUAGAGUGUGGUAGGGGAGAUCGGAAUUCCUGGUGUAGCGGUGAAAUGCGCAGAUAUCAGGAGGAACACCGGUGGCGAAGGCGGGUCUCUGGGCCGAUACUGACGCUGAGGAGCGAAAGCGUGGGGAGCAAACAGG